rnacentral:tRNA from 2 species
AGGCCUUGUGGUGUCAUCAUGUGUGGUUGCAAACCACAAGAAGCAGAAUAAUUCUCUGCCGGGGCUUC